AACGAACGCUGGCGGCAUGCCUAACACAUGCAAGUCGAACGAGACCUUCGGGUCUAGUGGCGCACGGGUGCGUAACGCGUGGGAAUCUGCCCUCAGGUACGGAAUAACUCAGGGAAACUUGAGCUAAUACCGUAUAAUGACUUCGGUCCAAAGAUUUAUCGCCUGAGGAUGAGCCCGCGUCGGAUUAGCUUGUUGGUGAGGUAAAAGCUCACCAAGGCGACGAUCCGUAGCUGGUCUGAGAGGAUGAUCAGCCACACUGGGACUGAGACACGGCCCAGACUCCUACGGGAGGCAGCAGUGGGGAAUAUUGGACAAUGGGCGAAAGCCUGAUCCAGCAAUGCCGCGUGAGUGAUGAGGGCCUUAGGGUUGUAAAGCUCUUUUACCCGGGAUGAUAAUGACAGUACCGGGAGAAUAAGCCCCGGCUAACUCCGUGCCAGCCGCCGCCGUAAUAC
rnacentral:rRNA from 1 species